rnacentral:rRNA from 1 species
CUACGGGGCGCUGCAGUCGAGAAUAGUCUACAAUGGACGAAAGUCUGAUAGUGCAAUGCCGCGUGGAUGAAGAAGCAUUUCGGUGUGUAAAAUCCUUUUCCAAGUGAUCAAAGAUGUCAAGGUGAAUAGCUUUGAUGUUAAGAUAGUAGUUUGGGAAUAAGCCUCGGCUAACUCCGUGCCAGCAGCCGCGGUAAUACGGGGGAGGCAAGCGUUGUCCGGAAUCACUAGGCGUAAAGGGCAAGUAGGCGGAAGAGUAAGUUACGUGUUAAAGGCAUUGGCUCAACCAAUGUAAGGCAUGUGAUACUGCUUUUCUAGAGUCAGGCAGGGGAAGACGGAAUUUCCAGUGUAGCGGUGGAAUGCGCAGAUAUUGGAAAGAACACUCAAGGCGAAGGCAGUCUUCUGGGCCAUGACUGACGCUCAAUUGCGAAGGUGUGGGUAUCAAACAGGAUUAGAUACCCUUGUAGUC